CCUACGGGAGGCAGCAGUGAGGAAUAUUUGUCAAUGGACGAGAGUCUGAACCAGUCAAGUAGCGUGAAGGAUGACUGCCCUAUGGGUUGUAAACUUCUUUUAUAUGGGAAUAAAACAGGGUAUGCAUACCCUCUUGUAUGUACCAUAUGAAUAAGGAGCGGAUAACUCCGUGCCAGCAGCCGCGGUAAUACGGAGGAUCCGAGUGUUAUCCGGCUUUCUUGGGUUUAAAGGGAGAGUAGGUGGAUUGUAAAGUCAGUUGUGAAAGUUUGCGGCCCAACCGUAAAAUUUAAGUGGAAACUGGCAGGCUUGAGUAGAGUAGAGGUGGGCGGAAUUCGUGGUGUAGCGGUGAAAUGCUUAGAUAUCACGAAGAACUCCGAUUGCGAAGGCAGCUCACUGGACUUCAACUGACACUGAUGCUCGAAAGUGUGGGUAUCAAACAGGAUUAGAUACCCUUGUAGUC
rnacentral:rRNA from 1 species